GGUGAACGCUGGCGGUAGGCCUAACACAUGCAAGUCGAGCGGAAGCACAAGAAGCGUUUGCCCUUACGGGUAGCGAGUGGCGGGUGGGUGACGCAUACAUCGGAAUCUUCUUUUUCGUGGGGGAUAUCGUAGGGCAACUUCCGCUAACACCUCAUAAGACCUACGGCUGAAAGCAGUGGAUCUUCAGACCUUGCCCGAUUGAAUGAGCCGAUGUCGGAUUAGCUAGUUGGGGGGGUAAAGGCCCACCAAGGCGACGAUCCGUAGCUGGUCUGAGAGGAUGAUCAGCCACACUGGAACUGAGACACGGUCCAGACUCCUACGGGAGGCAGCAGUCGGGAAUCUUGGCCAAUGGGCGCAAGCCUGACCCAGCCAUACCGCGUGGGUGAAGAAGGUCUUCGGGUUGUAAAGCCCUUUUGUUGGGAAAGAACAGCAGCAGGUGAAAACCUCGCUGUUCUGACGGUACCCAAUGAAUAAGCCCCGGCUAACUUCGUG
rnacentral:rRNA from 1 species